rnacentral:rRNA from 1 species
GGGGAAUCUUGCGCAAUGGGGGAAACCCUGACGCAGCGACGCCGCGUGCGGGAUGAAGGCCUUCGGGUCGUAAACCGCUUUCAGCAGGGACGAAAUUGACGGUACCUGCAGAAGAAGCCCCGGCCAACUACGUGCCAGCAGCCGCGGUAAUACGUAGGGGGCAAGCGUUGUCCGGAUUUAUUGGGCGUAAAGAGCUCGUAGGCGGCUUGGUAAGUUGGGUGUGAAAUCUCCACGCUCAACGUGGAGGGGCCACUCGAUACUGCCAUGGCUAGAGUCCGGUAGGGGAGUGUGGAAUUCCCGGUGUAGCGGUGAAAUGCGCAGAGAUCGGGAGGAACACCCGUAGCGAAGGCGGCACUCUGGGCCGGUACUGACGCUGAGGAGCGAAAGCGUGGGGAGCGAAC